rnacentral:rRNA from 1 species
CAUCACUACGCUAGAUGCAUAUCAAUAAGCGGAGGAAAAGAAACUAACAAGGAUUCCCUUAGUAACGGCGAGUGAAGCGGGAAGAGCUCAAAUUUGAAAUCUUCAAGGUUUUACCUUGACGAAUUGUAGUUUAAAGAAGUGUUUUCUGUUGGAGUUUUGGUAAAAGUUCUUUGGAAUAGGACAUCAUAGAGGGUGAGAAUCCCGUAUUUGACCGUUACUUUCCAGCUGUGUGAUACACUUUCAAAGAGUCGGAUUGUUUGGGAAUGCAGUCCAAAAUGGGUGGUAAAUUUCAUCUAAAGCUAAAUAUUGGCGAGAGACCGAUAGCGAACAAGUACCGUGAGGGAAAGAUGAAAAGAACUUUGAAAAGAGAGUUAAACAGUACGUGAAAUUGUCAAAAGGGAAGCGUUUGACACCAGUGUUGUUUAGUUGAAAAUCAAUUCAAUAGUUUUUGAUUCUAAGUAGUAUUGACUUCAUCAGCUUGCUGCUUUCUUCUCAGAAAUUAUUGAAUGCACUUUUCAGUUAACAAGUCAACAUCAAUUUCUUUUGUUGUAAAAGGGUAAGAGGAAGGUGGCUUGCGCUUCGGCUCAAGUGUUUAUAGCCUUUUAUCUCUGCAAUCGGAGAGAUUGAGGUCUGCAGCGUAGAUCCUUCGGGGUUAGAUACAUUGGUGCUAAGCUAUAGCCUUGUAUAGACAACUUGUUGACUAUGCUCAGUCAUGUAGCUUACUCGCUGAUGCUAUUUUACCUACGCUUAGGAUGUUGACACACGCGCGUGCUCG